CCUACGGGUGGCAGCAGUGGGGAAUAUUGCACAAUGGGGGAAACCCUGAUGCAGCGACGCCGCGUGAGCGAAGAAGUAUUUCGGUAUGUAAAGCUCUAUCAGCAGGGAAGAAACUGACGGUACCUGACUAAGAAGCACCGGCUAAAUACGUGCCAGCAGCCGCGGUAAUACGUAUGGUGCAAGCGUUAUCCGGAUUUACUGGGUGUAAAGGGAGCGUAGACGGAUAGGCAAGUCUGGAGUGAAAGCCCGGGGCUCAACCCCGGGACUGCUUUGGAAACUGUUUAUCUAGAGUGCUGGAGAGGUAAGUGGAAUUCCUAGUGUAGCGGUGAAAUGCGUAGAUAUUAGGAGGAACACCAGUGGCGAAGGCGGCUUACUGGACAGUAACUGACGUUGAGGCUCGAAAGCGUGGGGAGCAAACAGGAUUAGAUACCCCUGUAGUC
rnacentral:rRNA from 1 species